UACCCAAUAGUCAUCGGGCUGCAAGCUAGGAUCACAACUACUGUGGCGCUGGAUACAAAUCUAACCAACAGAAUUUUGGAAAAGUUUGUGUCAUACCUCCAACAAUCCUUCAACGUAACUGCAAGAGUAUUGAGCGUUAGGGACUUAUGAAGAGCUCUGCCAGAAGGACGUUCAGGAUAUUCUCAAGGCGUUAAUCUUUUUUUUUUUUUUUUUAAUUCUCUGAGAAUGUUUACUUUGUUGUAAUAUAUUUUUACUAUUUUAAAUAACUGUUUAGGGUUAUUAUUUAAAAGUAUGGUGAUGAUUUGUGGGAGGCAAUUGGGUGCAACUGUGAUUGAAAGUCGAUACAUUUUCUAUGAUUUGUCAACAAUGAAUCAAUUAAUAAAUGAAUCCUGUUUCAGGAGAAAACA